rnacentral:rRNA from 1 species
UGCCAGCAGCCGCGGUAAUACGAAGGGGGCAAGCGUUGUUCAGAUUUACUGGGCGUAAAGGGCGCGUAGGCGGAUAAUCAUGUCAGAGGUGAAAGCCCCGGGCUCAACCUGGGAAUUGCCUUUGAAACGGGUUAUCUUGAGGACGGGAGAGGAUGGUGGAAUACCCAGUGUAGAGGUGAAAUUCGUAGAUAUUGGGUGGAACACCGGUGGCGAAGGCGACCAUCUGGCCCGUUACUGACGCUGAGGCGCGAAAGCGUGGGGAGCAAACGGGAUUAGAUA